UUCCAAUUUAAGUACUCACAGUAAUCUGAAGUACUGCAUUUUGAACACAGGUAGGUGAAUGAACAGUGAACUUGUAAAGCUCAGGAUAGUCCAUUUCAGGUGGAAUGCUUAUCUGAGAUUUCGGGCACUAAUUUCCAGCUUUGUUACCCUAUUAUUGCAAUUAUAUUAUGAGCAUAUUAUUGUUACUAUAGUUAAUUUAUUUAUAGGGUGCUUUCCCACAAACUACACUGAUUUUUUUUACAGUAUACUAGCUGUGCCCGGCCACGUGUUGCUGUGGCGUUGUCUGGUGGUAUUGGUGAGAAAUGGUUGAGGUAGCGGUGGUAUUGAAUGUCUGUUGUAUGGUUGUCUUUAUGUUUAGUAUGCAUUUGGUUGUUUGUGUACUGUGAAAGUGGUGAGGAUAGAGGGGGUCUAUGUUUAGUAUGCAUUUGGUUGUUUGUGUACUGUGAAAGUGGUGAGGAUAGAGGGGGUCUAUGUGUAGUAUUGUAUAGUAUUUAUACGUUGUCCAUGUGUUGUGAAUGCUUGGAUUGUGUCUUGCUGCAUAAUAGAAAGGGUUGGGCUGGAUGGCCCUUAGGGGUCUCUCCAAACUCUUGUGCCUGUCCCCUGGGCUGAGUAGGUUGCUAGGACACCAAGUGGGUGGAACUUAGCCUUGUAACUGGCAGCAAUUGGAUAAAAACAGUUAUUCCUCUCCCUCUAAUUAGGACUUUAUUUUUCUUUUCUUUUUGUUGUAUCAACCUAGAGCUGUGAAUGAUGGGUUGUGUUGUCAAAUUUUGAGGUUGGGGGGCCUGUAGCUUUGUUGUUUUGCCCGCUGCCCUGAUGCCAUCACUCUUUUAUAUAUAUAGAUAUGAAGUUGUGAAAUACAUGACAUGUGGAGGAGAAAUAAAGGAAAAGUAUUUUAAAGAACAUUGAUAUGUCCAAGAACAAUACAGCUUACAUAAGUUUUAUUUAUUUAUUUCCUAUAUUUUUGCCUUGCUCUUCUCAUCCCAAAGGGGACUCAGAGCAGCUUCCAAGUAGGCAACAUUCAAUGCCAUACAAACAACAAGAGAUAAUAAACACAAAUAUUAAAAUCAUUAAAAGUUAAAAAAUCAUAGCAUAUUAAUACAUUACAUUAAUACAUUAAAAUCAGCUAUUAAAACCACCCAAAUCCCAAGUCAUAGUCCAGGAGACAUUCCAACUGCUUGUUUCAUUGCUGCCUGUUGCACUGACUGUUCUCCAAAGGUUUGGUCCCAUAGUCAUGUUUUCAGUUUUUUUCUGAAGGUCAGGAGGGAGGGAGCUGAUCUAAUUUCACUGGGAAGUGAGUUCCACAGCUGCGGGGCUACAACUGAGAAAGCCCUGUCUCUCAUCCCCACCAAUUGCACCUGUGAAGUUGAGUGGGACCAAG
rnacentral:lncRNA from 1 species